AAUGUACAUUCUAAAGCAAAUACUCCACAUUCUAAAGACAGCAACCAACAGUGGGGCCAGACAUCUUCCAAGGUCAUUUUGAGAGGUAGCAGAACUAGCACUACUGCCAUCAACCUCGUCCCCUCCUCUCCUAUCUAUUAGUAUAUAAAGAAAAGAACAAGGGAGCCACCUCGAUUUCAGGGGAGAUGAGGAAAAGAGAGAGAAAGUUAUCACCCAAACUGGAUCACGGAGACAUACAUGUGAAAAGGUGCUUCAAGCAGAGGAUUUGCGUAUGGUCCUAAUCCCCCACUGCGUGUACGUGAAGCUAUCUGCCAGGUGAAAGCACAUGGAGGAUGGAGGAAUACAGUGAAAAGGAAAUGAGAACACAGUAGCCCCCUGUUGGAAACCCAGCUGUAAUUUCUAGCAUUCAGAUACAUCAUGGGGCACAUCACGACCUUGAACCAUAAACAUAUAUGCAGUAAAAGCCCAA
rnacentral:lncRNA from 1 species